rnacentral:rRNA from 1 species
CCUACGGGUGGCAGCAGUGGGGAAUAUUGCACAAUGGGCGCAAGCCUGAUGCAGCCAUGCCGCGUGUGUGAAGAAGGCCCUCGGGUUGUAAAGCACUUUCAGCGGGGAGGAAGGCGGUGAGGUUAAUAACCUCAUCGAUUGACGUUACCCGCAGAAGAAGCACCGGCUAACUCCGUGCCAGCAGCCGCGGUAAUACGGAGGGUGCAAGCGUUAAUCGGAAUUACUGGGCGUAAAGCGCACGCAGGCGGUCUGUCAAGUCGGAUGUGAAAUCCCCGGGCUCAACCUGGGAACUGCAUUCGAAACUGGCAGGCUAGAGUCUUGUAGAGGGGGGUAGAAUUCCAGGUGUAGCGGUGAAAUGCGUAGAGAUCUGGAGGAAUACCGGUGGCGAAGGCGGCCCCCUGGACAAAGACUGACGCUCAGGUGCGAAAGCGUGGGGAGCAAACAGGAUUAGAUACCCGGGUAGUC